ACUGUAAUUCAGUUACUGCUCUAACGUGAACAAGUGCGCAUCGUCGCUACGCAGAAGAAACGAGAUUUUUCGUUGUUUGAAGAUUCAUCGUGCGCUCACUCACGGGAUUGUUUUGAUUUUUCCGCUCUCGCCUUUUGCGGAACCCGGCGAAGCUGGAAGCCGGGAAAAGCGUCGCGCGUGUGUCGUCAACGACGGCGGUGGAAAACUGUUGACGAGGUGUGUGGGUAUGUGUGCCGUUGAAUGAAUGGUGAACUGCCGGUGCAGGAGUGGGCCAGGAAAACUAAAAGGAAAAAAUCACUAUGAACCAUGAGAGCUAGUGAAUGAGGUGAAUACACACGAGUGGCAUUGUUCUUGUUCUUUUUCGUGUGUUCAGUGGAUUACUAGGAUCGGGCUCGUGGAAACUCGAAACACUCAGCCUACUACGCGACGUUGGCUCUGAACCCCAGUGGAAAAUAAUAGAAGCGCAGUGUGCUGAUAUUUUCAGUUAUUUACAGUUUUUUGUUUGCUUGGCGGAAUAUCAGUUUUUGUGUUUGUUGCGUUUCAUGUUCUCCAGUGCCUCGAAUAACAGAAGAGUCCGUUAUUUUUUGUUGAUGCUGUGCUUCGGAUGAAAAAUAUUCGAACGAGUAACACUGUGUUGUAAGGACAUAAAAGACAAUUAUUAUUGCUGUUGCAAUAAAACAUUUUCAAUUUCUGUACUGACAUUGUUUUCCUGUCUGGGAUGAAAAACUGACUUUUUUUUGCGACGGAAGAAAAUGGAAAAGUGCUUUAAUAACUGCAGUUUUUCUCAUUACAAGUGAAACCACCUGCGAAACACAUGAAGAGCUAUGAAUGAUUUUCAAUUACGAUUGGCGGCCGUCGAUUGACUGAGUUACAAAUGCGGCAGUUGCCUUAGAUGUCGUAUUGUGAUAGUGCAGUGAACGAACAGGAAACAGUGAAAGUAUGCUGGAUCCGGUGCAAAAACCUAGCACUUCGGGCAGUCCCGAAUGUUGCAACGGUGCCUAGUCAAGAAGUCGUGCAUCACUGAAUACCAAGAGUAGUCCGAAAACGGGAACACGUUACUCCUAUGUAAACUCUUGAAGAUCUCAAGUAAUUCUGUUUUCGUUGUUUUUUGUUCGCGAUAAUUGUUUCGUUUAUAGUGAUAUUAUGUUAUUUAUUUGUUCGUAAAUGGAUACCAAAUCUCAUCGAAUGUAUAACAGAGGAGUGCGACGAGUGUUUUUAUGUUCGUACCUGUAGAAUUCAGUGUUCUGAGGCUCACAUCUGUAUCAGUACAAUCAACGAGUGAGAACGGAAACGUGCUCACCAAUACGUUUCGCUCCCCCGAACUACGUUAGAUAAUAUGGCCGCGUAUGCACAAUUUAGUUACACAUAUCCGUCGGCAAGUCAGUUGUUGGUUGGUGGUGGACAGACGACAACCGCCAGUUCACAGUCACCAAUCUCGACCACGAACGCUCCAUCAUUGAGCCCGGGUGGUUCAGCAACAGGCGCGCCAUCAGGUGCCUUAAGCCCCGGGGCUGUCUCACAAACCUCAAAUAAUGCUCCACCGGCGACCUCCUGCUGUGAGAAUGGCAGGCCUAUUAUGACUGAUCCUGUAUCAGGACAAACCGUAUGCUCCUGCCAAUAUGAUUCAGCCCGGUUAGCACUGUCCAGCUACUCCCGGAUACCAACCGGUAGUGUUGGUGUGUAUGGUACUCCCUAUCCUUCAACCGAGCAGAACCCUUACCCGAGCAUCGGCGUAGAUAGUUCAGCAUUUUAUUCACCUCUUAGCAACCCGUAUGCUUUAAAAGAAAGUGGACCAACUAGUGAUAUGACCGCGUGGACAUCCGCCGGCCUGCAGCCCACGACCGGAUACUACCCGUACGAUCCUACGCUAGCGGCCUAUGGAUAUGGCGCUGGUUAUGAUUUAGCGGCCCGCAGAAAGAAUGCAACCCGCGAGUCAACCGCAACGUUAAAGGCGUGGCUCAACGAGCACAAAAAGAACCCGUACCCGACCAAGGGCGAGAAAAUUAUGCUAGCCAUCAUUACCAAGAUGACACUGACACAGGUGUCCACCUGGUUUGCCAAUGCCCGGCGGCGGCUGAAAAAGGAGAACAAGAUGACGUGGGAGCCUAAGAAUAAGACAGACGACGACGAUGAUGCGAUGGUGUCAGACGACGAGAAGGAUAAGGACGACAUGGAUCCGGACAAGAGUCGUGAUCACAAAGAUAUGCAUCACCAUGUGAAAGCCGAGCACGACAAGGAUGACGACGAUGAUGAUCUCACCGAUGACGAACGGAAGCCGGAAAACUUAUUAGGGCAUCCGGGACAUCUGGGGCAGCACCAUCCGUACUACCACCAUUCGAUGCUCGGGGGACACCACCACCAUGCAGGGCUCAAAUCAGAAAUGGACCAUCCAAAAAACCAAACGGGCAGCGACUGUGGAGUGCCGAUUCCAGCCUCAAAGCCGAAAAUUUGGAGUCUGGCAGACACAGCCGCUUGCAAAACCCCACCACCACAGGCACUACACAGCUCUUGGAUGACCGGCGGCUAUCACCCAGGGCAGCACCACCAACAACAGCAACAGCACCAUCAACAGCAACACCAUCUGCAGCAGCAGCAGCAGCAACAGCACCUCCAACAGCAGCAUCAGCAACAGCACCAACAGCAUACGGGCAGUGGGAUGAUGAUGGGCGGCGAAAGUUCCCCUAUGAGUAUGAAUAUGGCAAAUACACCUCACAACCAAGGUAUGGGGACUAUGGGCAGUGGUAUGAUGAACAAUUUCGGGAAUACCCCUUAUUCCCGCUAUGGGGGGUUUCUAACAGGAGCUCAACAUUACAAUACUACCCACAACAACAACAGCAGCAACAACACCAACAACAAUACCAACAGCAAUACGAGUACGGGUCCAGUGACGGAUGCUACAACUCCCACUUUGCAACAACAGCUCCCACAGCAAGGGAUGCACCAGCAGCAGCAACCCCAACAACCUAUGAACAGCAACAAUACCCAGUCGAUGGGGUUUCCAGAGGUCCAGACCGACACCCCCCCUCAAACACCGCCGAAUAUGAAACUACCCAGCGUGGCGGGGAAUCUUCUUACGGUCUCAACAACCCCUACGACAGGUACCUGCUAUAAUGCUGCGGUUAAUAACGGUGCUGGUAAUAACAACAACAACCUCACUCCAAACAACAACAACCUUAAUCAAUCGAACGGUUACGCAUCGUCACCGGAAUCGAUGGGACAAGCUAACAAUCAGCAAGGACAGCAAAACAGCUAUUAUCGCAUGCAAUCAAAUUCACCGCAAAAAUCCCAGCAGGAUUAUUCCCAGCAAAUGCUACAUCAGCAAGAUGGUUUCAAGCCGUUCUACAAAAACUCACCACAAGUUGGCAACGGUUUCGUUUCUCCAGUUUGAGCAGCAGAGGCAACAGCGUACGCAUCAUUCAGAAGAUUAGAGGAAGAGCUGAUGAGAUUUAGCGAGAAUACCACCGUUCGGCAUCCUUGUCGGUCGCAUGAUUCCUCGCCACAUACAAAACACGAGCUUUUAGGUUUUCCAGUCUCUGAAUAAGCAUACAGACAUUCACUGUGGAGGCACAUAUUUUCUGCUACUUCGGAUCAGAGCAAAAGCGUUAAAAGAUUAUCAUCGGAAUCAUGGAACAUCUCUCUGAAAAGCAAGAGCCUAAUGGAAAUCAAUUCAACCUACUAUGGAUGUGACUUUCAUCAAGCCAAAAACCAAAAUGCAACGUGCGAAAUCAACCUAAGCAUCACAUCGGAGAACAACGUAUGCAACGUGACAUGCCCAAGUACAUAAAUGCAAUGGAAUGGGAUGGAUGCAACACUUUUCCCAUCAACAAUUGUUUCAUCACGCCACCCUCUUUUUCUCUCCGAUCAAGCUGCUGGUGAUGGCUGUUAUGCUACUCUCGCAAAACUGAGCGCAACCUUCAUUCACUCCUAUGAAACUACGUACGAAUCGAAACUAUUCCUUUUACUGUAAAUACUACUACUUACUGCUGAUGUUGCUGGCUGAUACAACUACCACCUAGUAGACAAGACCCGAACGCUAAGGGAAACCUAAACCAGUUGUAUACGAGUUUGAAGAGCAAAUUGUGUGUACAUUGUAAACCAAUAUAAUCGACAAAUUUUCGAACCAGCUUGAAGUGAACUUUGCUAUCCCUAUACAUACUGGAACUGGGCUAUGUGCAACAAAAGAAUGUGUGUAUCAGAAAUUUAUACAGUUGUUUCCUAUUGAUGUAUAAAAUCGAUUUUGCUGGUAGUCUCCUUUAUUGGUUUUAAUCCUGGUUAACAUUUGCUAAGUAUCUACAUUUAAGUACGAAUCAAUUUUUCCUCCAACGACGCUACGUGCAAUUUUCCUUCCUACCCUUUUCAUUAACUCAGUGUCCUUUCAGUGCACUGUUAUCGCAAGCUUUGUAAUGCAAAAGUAGGCAAACUGAUCGUUUUAAUUUUCGGCCUUGUAUUAUAUUUCAUCUAAAGGAAAAUCGAAACAAAAUGUUGAGAAACGCAUUUGUAAUCUGUGAUAACGAAAAAGUAUAUAAAAAUAUUAAACAUAUUUAACACUUUAUCUUAAGAAGCUCUUGAAAACUUCUUUUAGUUUGUAUUUAGCGAAAGAUCCUUCUCCAGCAAAAUAUUCUUUUCCCGUACGCUCACUUGAGAGUCACAUCUACAUUUUGUCUCAUAUCAAAACAAGUAAAAUCAAACCGUUGAAACCAAUUCCGUACAACUUUGUUGAUGUUUUGUAUAAAUGUAUGAAUGUUUAGCGGAAACAAAGAGAGGAAUGCAAUAAUCACUUCUUCUAAGGCACUUCAGCUACAGCUUUGAAAAAUUAACUUCCAAUAUGCAAUCAGUAUGAGCAAGCAAAUAAACGAAUUGGAAUACCAAAUCUUGAAAAUCAGAUCCUUAGGCUUGUAUAAAUUUCACAAAAGUGAGACCAUUGGUACUGGACAGAAAAGUAUUGUACAUAAAUUGUUUAAGAGUUUUCACUAGAAAAAAAAUAUCAUCCGCAGUAGCAACUGGGUAAGCUAUUCAAGUGUAAUGUAAUUUUGUACAUAGCCAACCUCACAUUGAUUAUCAUCUUAAUGGUUAGGGAAGUUCAUGAUGACAUCAGCUGUCAGAAUCAUUCAUACAAACCUUAUUUCUAUUUGUGUGAACUUAGCAAAAGCAACUCAGAAUUCGAAGAAAAAAAUCAUACCUUCGCCUCUAUAGUCACUUUUCGAAGAAAAACCAUAGUACCAUUGCACUACUUAAUAAAUAAAAAUCAUUUAAAGGUCGACAUAUGAACAAAGCAAACACAACAGCAUAUACACUCCGAAUUGAGAGUAACAUCUUUAUAUACUUUUCCCCAAUUAUUACGAUUGGUAUGAACAUGUUUUGAAGGGAUUGCGGAAAGUAAAACAGCUUUCAAAACAAUGGCAACUAGAGAAUUAAAUCACAGAUAUGUUCACUUGCAUUCGCUAUCGGUAAUAGAAUGAACUGGAUGUAGAGGAAGAAACGGUACAUCUAUCAAAAUA